rnacentral:rRNA from 1 species
GACGAACGCUGGCGGCGUGCCUAAUACAUGCAAGUCGAACGCAGUGGCGGACGGGUGAGUAACACGUGGGUAAACUGCCCUGCACUUCGGGAUAAGCCUGGGAAACUGGGUCUAAUACCGGAGAGUGUGGGAUGGGCCCGCGGCCUAUCAGCUUGUGGGUGGGGUAAUGGACUACCAAGGCGGCGACGGGUAGCCGGCCUGAGAGUGUGGACGGCCACAUUGGGACUGAUACACGGCCCAGACUCCUACGGGAGGCAGCAGUGAUGAAUAUUGCACAAUCGGCGGAAGCCUGUUGCAGCGACGCCACGUGGGUGAUGACGGCCUUCGGGUUGUAAACUCCUUUCACCAUCGACGCGGUAGAUGGAGAAGAAGCACCGGCUAACUCCGUGCCAGCAGCCGCGGUAAUAC